UGAAAAGCUCAACCGGUACAGCGUGAGACUCUUAAUCUCAGGGUUGUGGGUUCGAGUCCCGUAUCGAGCAAAA